rnacentral:rRNA from 1 species
UACGUAGGGUGCAAGCGUUAAUCGGAAUUACUGGGCGUAAAGCGUGCGCAGGCGGUUUUGUAAGUCUGUCGUGAAAUCCCCGGGCUCAACCUGGGAACUGCGUUUGAAACUACAAGGCUAGAGUGUAGCAGAGGGGGGUAGAAUUCCACGUGUAGCAGUGAAAUGCGUAGAUAUGUGGAGGAAUACCGAUGGCGAAGGCAGCCCCCUGGGAUAACACUGACGCUCAUGUGCGAAAGCGUGGGGAGCAAACAGG